GGAAACGAUUGAAGCCAGUCAUGCGGUGGGAAAUCAGCCUUCGGGGUAACCAGGGGGUGCACUUUCUCGCAGGGCAGGUCAGCUCAGUUUCGCCAGUCGUAAAAAGCCCGUCGGAAUGUGACUCCUUUCGGAGUGUUAUAGCAGCGGUCAAUGCGACGAGCGGGAUUGAGGAUUGCAGCGGGUGCCUUUCGAGGCUAAGUGCUGGCCCUUGUUCGUGGUCGCCUUGGUAACAGCGUGCUGGUGCCGAGAACGAUCCGUGGCACGGGGUUUAGCGUCACGGUAAACUCGUUAAGGAUGCUGACGUAAUGGCUUUAAACGA
rnacentral:rRNA from 1 species